rnacentral:rRNA from 1 species
CCCUGCCUUUUGUACACACCGCCCGUCGCUACUACCGAUUGAAUGGUUUAGUGAGGCCUCGGGACUGGCGCAUGGGCGCUGGCAACAGCACCCUCGUGCCGGGAACUUGGUCAAACUUGAUCAUUUAG